rnacentral:lncRNA from 1 species
CUGCUUUUGCUUCUAUCAAAAUCCCAAGUUAGACAGAAAAAGAUGAAGGUUGACAUAAAUGGUGCCCAGAGAAUGAUGUGAAACAAAUCACUCUGGGAAGGAAUCAGCGAUUUUUAGAACUGAUGUGCAAUAUUCUCUUGAGCUCUUUGAGCUCUCUGUUUCCACAUUUCACCUCUUCUGCCCUGGGUCUUGCUCUGUCACGCAGGGUGAAAUGCAGUGGAACCAUCAUGACUCACUACAGCUUCAGCCUCCCAGACUCAAGUGAUCCUCCCACCUCAGCUUGUUGAGUAGAUGGGACUACAGAUGCACAUCACCAUGCCCAGCUAACUUUUUAUUUUUUGCAGAAGCAGGAUCUCACCAUAUUUUCCAGGCUGGUAUCUAACUUCUGGGCUCAAGUGAUCUACCUAACUUGGCCUCCCAAAGUGCUGGAUUAUAGGCAUGAACCACCAUGACCUGAUGAAAGAAAUUUUUUUAAACCAAACUGUUUUACCCAAAAUUUUAAUCCAGAGCUUUCAUUAGAUGACAUAUCAGAGAAAAUAAAGUUGAGCCAUAUAAACAUGUCUCUUUUAGCCAGAAAUAUAAUUUAGAUUCAAUACUCUUU